GCUCAGGUUCACGGGCACCGUCUUCAGCACCUGCACGCGGCUCUCCACGCCCGCGCCGCCCGCGGGCUCCCCGGCGCCCACGCAGCCCCUGCGGGAGACACGUUAGGGACACGGUGGCCGUCGUGCAGGCCCGCGCCGCAGAGCCCCGCGUGCAGAGGGAGCGCGUGGCCUCCUGUCAGGAGCCCAAAGGGUAAGAAAAUAAAGGACCAGAGGAAACGCAGGGCCUGAUUGCAGUGACAGAGCCAUGGGAUUGAUGAGAAAAAUUAAUCCCAGCACUGGGCCCCCUGCCAGGCCAUUGCCUACAAUUCCUGGGACUUUAAGACUCCAUGGCUGAGCAUCAUCUGAGGAGACUGCCCAUGACCCUUGCUGCACAACCAAAAAAUACAACUUACCAUCAUUGGUGAGACUCUCAGGACAGAAGAAGCAAAGCUCUGUGACCUCAUCUCCUCCCAAGAACAAAACUUAAGAGUUUCAUACUGCUGUUCUCACAAACCAUCCAAAGGGAGGUAUCCUCGAAGCCUGGCCUAUUCCUCUCUGGGCAGCUUACCUCUUAUCCUGGUCUUCUGGGCUCUCACUUGCUUUGCUUACAGACAGCAGCCUCUUGUCUCGAGGAACCUGGAAACAUUACCAGUCAUCAGUGGGAUGCAGACACAGGCAACAGCAAGCACACGAUGAGCUAGAUGCCUGCAUAAGCAAGGAAAUGAAAAUGGAAGGAUCUCCAGGAAGAGGGGCGAGUUUGUGGUUGUCGGGAGAUGGUGAAAAUUGAGUACCCUGAGUGAGGAUGACAUUGCAGCCAGAGACUAAGGCUGGCGACAAACGUACAAGAGGUCACAAAGAAGCACAACCGAGCUGCUGAAGCCACAAUGCUGUAUGUCCUCACCUUGGGAGCAGAUGGAGAAGGAGGAACAGUGCACAUGGGGUGGACCUGAACGUGGGUGCCUUUGAGCAGACAGCAUCACGGAGUGACAGUGAGUGUCCUUUAAAGGAAGAGGGGCAGAUCCUCCUCUCCGAUGACUCCAGGUGCGACAGGGGCAGGAAACUGGGCAGGGAGCAGCACUGCCAGCAGCAGGGAAACAAACAGCCAGCAGACCCGCACCACCCUUCAACCCUUGCCUCACAGCUCGUGGGCUUGGCAGCUCAUGUUUUCCUGAGGCACUUUCACCGCCGUCUUAACCAUCAUGCUUCAUCAUACCUGAGCCCUUGCUGAGAGCUGCUGCCUGAGACAGGGACCUACAGGGGGGCUUCUGACCCCAUCCAGUGACCCAGCUGCAUCGUGGGUCCUUACUGGGCAGAGUUCCCAGAUACACCAGUAGGCGGGUGUGGAUUGGUUGGUUUGGUUGGAUUUUUUACUUUGUUUUUAAUUGUUUGCUAAAGCUUUGGAUCUUCCUUUUGAGAUGAAAACACACUUAUGAGAAGAUCCCUCUACAGGACUCUUGGCGCAGUUCCUCUGGCUUCCACUUACCUGAAUGCAGAUGCAAACAGAGGCUGCUGGACAGGAGGGUGACAGAGAAGGUAGCCAAGAGCCAAGGCCUGGCCCUGACUGCCUGGGUUCGACUUUAGCACUGCACUAACUCACUCCCUCACACUUUCCUCCUCUGUAACCCAGGCUUAGUGAUAGCCCAGAGUUGAAUUUUAAAGCACUUGGAAUAUCUAGCUCUUUAUGAGUUGAAAAAUAAAUCAAUUGUAAGGUUUUUGUUCAUAUGUCAAUUUUGAGAGUCUGCAGUGUACCAGGCAUUGCUAAGUACCAGGCAGAAAUGAGGUGAAUAAAACACCAUCCCUGUUGUGUAUUGAAGAUGACAGUUAAUAUAAAGUUUCAAUAUCCAGUACAUCAGUGUUCAUUACAGCCUUAUUCACAGUAGCCCAAAGGAGGGAAUAACCCAGGUGUCCACCAACCAAUGAAUGGAUAAGUGACAUGUUGUUUAUCCACCCAAGGAAACAUUAUUUAGUCUUAAAAAGGAAUGAAAUGCUGACAUAUGCCUUAUUAUGGAUAAACCUCGAAGACAAAAACAUAGAUUAAAAUAAGCCAGAUACAAAAGGAUAAGUAUAUACCCAGAAUGUCAGAGAGCACCAGAAGGUAGAACAGAGACGGGAAAUUAGUGCCGGAUGGGUGCAGAGUCUCAGUUUGGGAGGAUGAGAGAGUCCUGGAGGUGGUUGGUAGUGCUGUUUGCGCAGCAGGGUGAGUGAAUGUGCACUUAGUGCCACUGAACUGUGCACUUAGAAGUGGCUGAACUGUGCACUUAGAAGUGGCUGAACAGAGGGCCAGGAACGUAGCUCAGUGGUUCCAACGCCUGCCUCAUAAGCACAAGAUCCCAAGUUCGAUCCUCAAUACCAAAAAAAAGUGGCUGAAGUGAUACAUUUGUGUUAUGUGCAUUUUAAAAGCGAUGAGGAGAAAGUAGUGUUUACACACAAGCCUCCAUUCCCAGCUCUGCCCCUCUGCGCCCUGCAGUUUACCAGGCAGCCUGCUCAGCCAGCCUGGACCACCCUGGAACCAGCCUUGCUGCUAGCUUACUCCUAAAUCAGUUACUCCUAAUAGUGUCACAGAAACUCGAUCCUCAGUGAUGGGAGGUCAGGCUGAGGUAGGAUGCCCAGGCUCUGGGGACCCUAAAGGAUGGCGCUUCAGAGGAGCUGAGCCGGGGGCAGGAGUUUGUCAGCUGGAUGAGGAAGGCUUUAUAACCAGAGGGACUGCUUAUUUUAAAAAUGAGGGCAUGACAGAAUAGGGAAGUCAUUGCUGGGGGAGUGAGAUUUGGCCUCAGGGACAGUAUUGCGCCUCUCUGUUCCCUUCUGUGCCCCGCUGAUGGCACAGCUGCUUUCUCCUUCACUGUCAAGCAUCUCUCCCCUUGCAACCAGGGGACCAGCCAGGUCCCCUGGGUCUCCAGGCUCAGCCUCCAGAGGCUCUUGCUGCUGUGAGUCACCUGAGUUGUUGCCCGCAUCCUUCCUUCAGUCCACGCCAAUCCAUUUUUGGAUGCCUGAGUGGUCUUGAAAUGCACCUCCUCCCAUGGACCCAGAAGCCACACGUCCUGUAACCAAGCAUUGCUCCUUUUAACAGAGGAUCCGCCCUCAACACCCUCUCUGUCUGGGCUUCAAGCCUGCCUCCUGUGCCUUUUCGGUGCUUGCCAGGACCAUCUCAAGGCCCAUUUAAAUUCCUGGAUGUACCAUGUACAGGAGCAAAUUCCCUAUGCUGAGUGUUAUCAUUAUGUAUGCCGAAAAUGUACCAAUAAAUGUUUUGCUAUUAAAAAAAUAAUAAAUUUCUGUGUCCAUGAAAAACC